GUGCUUGCUUCAGCAGCAUAUACAUUAAACUUGGAAUAAUACAGAGAUUAGCGCAGCCCCGUGCAAGGAUGACACGCACAUUCAUGAAGCAUUCCAUAGUUUU